UUUUAGCCCUGAUGGUAGCGGCAUCCUUUUUUCUUGCUUCUUUAGCAAGGAAAAGAUAUAGCGGACAGCAGGAUUAGCU
rnacentral:sRNA from 1 species